rnacentral:rRNA from 1 species
CUGGCUCAGAGCGAACGCUGGCGGCAGGCUUAACACAUGCAAGUCGAGCGGGCCCUUCGGGGUCAGCGGCAGACGGGUGAGUAACGCGUGGGAACGUGCCCUUCGGUUCGGAAUAACUCAGGGAAACUUGAGCUAAUACCGGAUACGCCCUUAUGGGGAAAGGUUUACUGCCGAAGGAUCGGCCCGCGUCUG